rnacentral:rRNA from 1 species
GGGAGCUCUCCCAUAUGGUCGACCUGCAGGCGGCCGCGAAUUCACUAGUGAUUCGUAUUACCGCGGCUGCUGGCACAGAGUUAGCCGGUGCUUAUUCUGCGGGUACCGUCAUAGCAACGAGUUAUUCGCUCGUUACCUUUCUUCCCCACCUAAAGUGCUUUACAACCCGAAGGCCUUCUUCACACACGCGGCAUCGCUGGAUCAGGGUUUCCCCCAUUGUCCAAGAUUCCCCACUGCUGCCUCCCGUAGGAGUCUGGGCCGUGUCUCAGUCCCAGUGUGGCUGGUCAUCCUCUCAGACCAGCUACGGAUCGUCGCCUUGGUAGGCUUUUACCCCACCAACUAGCUAAUCCGACGUAGGCUCACCCCAGAGCGCAAGGCCUUUCGGUCCCCUGCUUUUGAUCUCUCGAUAUCAUGUGGUAUUAGCCCGAGUUUCCUCGGGUUAUCCCACGCUCCAGGACAGAUUCCUACGUGUUACUCACCCGUCCGCCACUCGCCACCCCAUAAAGACCGAAAUCUUUACUGUGCUGCCGUUCGACUUGCAUGUGUUAGGCAUGCCGCCAGCGUUCAAUCUGAGCCAGGAUCAAACUCUAAUCGAAUUCCCGCGGCCGC